UGCUAUACAUGCAGUCGAACGCACAGCGAAAGGUGCUUGCACCUUUCAAGUGAGUGGCGAACGGGUGAGUAACACGUGGACAACCUGCCUCAAGGCUGGGGAUAACAUUUGGAAACAGAUGCUAAUACCGAAUAAAACUUAGUGUCGCAUGACACAAAGUUAAAAGGCGCUUCGGCGUCACCUAGAGAUGGAUCCGCGGUGCAUUAGUUAGUUGGUGGGGUAAAGGCCUACCAAGACAAUGAUGCAUAGCCGAGUUGAGAGACUGAUCGGCCACAUUGGGACUGAGACACGGCCCAAACUCCUACGGGAGGCUGCAGUAGGGAAUCUUCCACAAUGGGCGAAAGCCUGAUGGAGCAACGCCGCGUGUGUGAUGAAGGCUUUCGGGUCGUAAAGCACUGUUGUAUGGGAAGAACAGCUAGAAUAGGAAAUGAUUUUAGUUUGACGGUACCAUACCAGAAAGGGACGGCUAAAUACGUGCCAGCAGCCGCGGUAAUACGUAUGUCCCGAGCGUUAUCCGGAUUUAUUGGGCGUAAAGCGAGCGCAGACGGUUUAUUAAGUCUGAUGUGAAAGCCCGGAGCUCAACUCCGGAAUGGCAUUGGAAACUGGUUAACUUGAGUGCAGUAGAGGUAAGUGGAACUCCAUGUGUAGCGGUGGAAUGCGUAGAUAUAUGGAAGAACACCAGUGGCGAAGGCGGCUUACUGGACUGCAACUGACGUUGAGGCUCGAAAGUGUGGGUAGCAAACAGGAUUAGAUACCCUGGUAGUCCACACCGUAAACGAUGAACACUAGGUGUUAGGAGGUUUCCGCCUCUUAGUGCCGAAGCUAACGCAUUAAGUGUUCCGCCUGGGGAGUACGACCGCAAGGUUGAAACUCAAAGGAAUUGACGGGGACCCGCACAAGCGGUGGAGCAUGUGGUUUAAUUCGAAGCAACGCGAGAACCUUACCAGGUCUUGACAUCCUUUGAAGCUUUUAGAGAUAGAAGUGCCUCUUCGGAGACAAAGUGACAGGGGGGCAUGGUCGUCGUCAGCUCGUGUCGUGAGAUGUUGGGUUAAGUCCCGCACGAGC
rnacentral:rRNA from 1 species